rnacentral:rRNA from 1 species
GACGAACCGUGCAAACGUUGUUCGGAAUCACUGGGCUUAAAGGGCGCGUAGGCGGGCAAGCAAGUCGAAGGUGAAAUCCCACGGCUCAACCGUGGAAGUGCCCCCGAUACUGCUUGUCUUGAGGGAGAUAGGGGCGUGCGGAACUUCCGGUGGAGCGGUGAAAUGCGUAGAUAUCGGAAGGAACACCGGUGGCGAAGGCGGCUCUCUGGGCCUUACCUGACGCUGAGGAGCGAAAGCGUGGGUAGCGAACAGG